CAUAGGUUAAUGAGGCGAACCGGGGGAACUGAAACAUCUAAGUACCCCGAGGAAAAGAAAUCAACCGAGAUUCCCCCAGUAGCGGCGAGCGAACGGGGAGCAGCCCAGAGCCUGAAUCAGUGUGUGUGUUAGUGGAAGCGUCUGGAAAGGCGCGCGAUACAGGGUGACAGCCCCGUACACAAAAAUGCACAUGCUGUGAGCUCGAUGAGUAGGGCGGGACACGUGGUAUCCUGUCUGAAUAUGGGGGGACCAUCCUCCAAGGCUAAAUACUCCUGACUGACCGAUAGUGAACCAGUACCGUGA
rnacentral:rRNA from 1 species